GAGAAAGAGGUCUAGGGUUUUUAGGUGUCUCUCUCUCGCGGCAGCUGGAUCCGGUGGCGCUAGGCGGCGAUGCGGGGCUACAUUGCGAGAUCUCGGCAUUGUGACGGGCGCUGGAGCGGGAUUUCGCGAAAUGCGAGCCGGAUUCGUGAAAUGUGAGUCCAGGGAAGGGAAAUGGGAGGGAGCUCCCCGCACUGUGGAGCGCCUGGCAGGGAAGGGACGGCCUUCACCGGGCCAUCGGGGAAUUCUAGAGCAGGGAAUGCGUCCAAGCGGUGGCUGCCCCAGAAUGGAGGCGCUAGGAAUGGCAAUGCGUUCCAGCUCCAGCCUUCCCAGGUGGUCGUGAAUGUUCGCGGUGGCGGCGCCGCUCAUGGAUUUUCCAAGGCGAGCAAGAGGGAGUGUGGGGAAUGUUUUCCAGUGAAAGGCAAAGUUUUGGCUUCCAGGAUUGUCAUCACUGCGGUAGUGUUAUGGCUGGUUUUCCAGUCGGUGCUGCUGUUAGAAGGGAUCGUCACCAAGCGUUCCGAGAUGAAUCUUCCCGGUGGAGCUGACGAUUUACAGCAGAAUUUUCUCAAUGGUUCUAGAGUUGCCCGAACGCGUCCAUCUGGCUUGGAGCAAAGAACUUUAGCUAAUGACGAGCAAGGAGCCUCCGCAAAAAUUAACAGUUCUAUUGCCAACUUUGAAGACUACGAAGAAAAUCUGGAAGGAGAAGUGGCUGUGGAGCGAGAUCUGCAUGCGAUUGAAGACGUGGAGAGAAUAGAAGAGGAGGAGCUGGAUGAGAGAAAAGAACAAGCCCAAGCGACUUUUGAGGAUGUGAACCGAGGCGUGAAAAGAGCCGAAAGGGAGAAGUUUGAGAAUCACGAACGUGACGAUGGGGAGCUUGAGCGCACUGGGCAGCCGCUAUGCAUUUACGAAACUUACGACGGAAACAGCGGCUGGGCUUCCCUCCAUCAGAAUUAUCCUCUGUACCGUGGUCUUAGUCUGUCACCGAGGGGAAGGAGACCAAGGGUCGACGACAUUGAUGCUGCAUCACGCCUUGUGCUUUUAAACGACACUUUCUACCGCGAUAGCUUUUGCGAUUUUGGUGGAUUUCUCGCAAUCGCUAACAGGAUUGAUCGAGUGCAUAAGAACUCGUGGAUUGGAUUUCAACCCUCGCUAGCUGCUACCGAAAGAGUUGCUCUGUCGCCAAAAGCUGAAAACUCUUUAGCCGAUGCUGUGAGGGUCGGUAUUCAUGGCGAUGCCGUUUAUUUCUGGGCUGGCAAGUCGGAAGAUUUCUGGACUUCUUGCGAUGCAAGCAAUGCUGGAAACUGCAGGCGGAUUUUCAUGGAGACAUUCAAGACAAUGUUCGGCUUAAACAAAGACCAACUGGAGCUUCCAACGAUGCCAUCUGGUGUCUGGUCUAGCAAGCAUUGCUGGGCUAUGUCUACCUCAUCUUUCGUGGAGUUCGUCAUGUUUUCCCGGAUGUUCGUGGACGCUCUCGAUUCUCGGCUCUACAUUGAACAUCACGACCAUGGAAACUGUCCUCUUGCAACCACACAACUGGAGGCUCAACACUGCUACUGCCGUCUACUUGAGGUCCUGGUGAACGUUUGGGCGUAUCACAGUGCCAGGAGACUCAUCUACGUGGAUCCUGAGACGGGUAUAAUGAUGGAGCAGAACGCUCUCGAGAGCCGACGCGGGCAGAUGAAAGUCAAGUGGUUCAGCUUUAGCGUGCUCAAGGGAAUGGACGAAGACAUGGCCGAGAAAGUUGACGACGAGCAUCCUACGUACCGGUGGCUCUGGCCACACACGGGAGAAGUGUUCUGGCAGGGAAUCUUGGAGAGGGAGAGGCAGGAGAGAUACAACAUGAAGUUGGAAAGGAAGCGCAGGAACAAGGAGAGGCUGGCUAGAAUGCGCAGCCGCUACAAGCAGAAGUCUCUGGGCCGCUAUGUGAAGCCACCACCGGAAGAGACGGAGCAAGAUCAAGCUGUGAAUACUGCUGCUCGGUGAACAGAUUCUUGGGUGAUUGUUUUGAGAGCCAGGAGAGCUCUUUCGACGCGAAUUGUAGUAUCAAGAGCGUGAUGAUUCUUGGAAGCUGCAAAUGGCCAAAGUUUUUACUAGCGCUGAAGAAUCCGAUCAAAACUCGCUUGAGUGAAGAACAGGCAGGAGCAAAACAGGGGAAA